rnacentral:rRNA from 1 species
GAUGAACGCUGGCGGCGUGCCUAAUACAUGCAAGUCGAACGCAGGAAGCCGUCUGAACCCUUCGGGGGGACGACGGUGGAAUGAGCGGCGGACGGGUGAGUAACACGUAAAGAACCUGCCCAUAGGUCUGGGAUAACCACGAGAAAUCGGGGCUAAUACCGGAUGUGUCAUCGGACCGCAUGGUCCGCUGAUGAAAGGCGCUCCGGCUUCGCCCAUGGAUGGCUUUGCGGUGCAUUAGCUAGUUGGUGGGGUAACGGCCCACCAAGGCGACGAUGGAUGGCCGACCUGAGAGGGUGACCGGCCACACUGGGACUGAGACACGGCCCAGACUCCUACGGGAGGCAGCAGUAGGGAAGCUUCCACAAUGGACGAAAGUCUGAUGGAGCAACGCCGCGUGAACGAUGAAGGCUUUCGGGUCGUAAAGUUCUGUUGUAAGGGAAGAACAAGUGCCGCAGGCAAUGGCGGCACCUUGACGGUACCUUGCGAGAAAGCCACGGCUAACUACGUGCCAGCCGCCGCAGUAA